UACAGAGGGGGCAAGCGUUGUUCGGAAUUACUGGGCGUAAAGGGCUCGUAGGUGGCCAACUAAGUCAUACGUGAAAUCCCUCAGCUUAACUGGGGAACUGCGUCUGAGACUGGAAGGCUUGAGUGCAGGAGAGGAACGCGGAAUUCCAGGUGUAGCGGUGAAAUGCGUAGAUAUCUGGAGGAACACCGGUGGCGAAGGCGGCGUUCUGGACUGCAACUGACACUGAGGAACGAAAGCCAGGGGAGCAAACGGG
rnacentral:rRNA from 1 species